CUCAUCGUUAUCCGCAUGAGCAGCUCUGACCUAAUGAUGUUCGAACACAUAGCCAAGAUCUACCAGUCAGAAUCAAAUCGUCCGACGUCAAAUUAUCUUCCUGAAACUACGUCUGGUGCCAAAUUAUCUUAUUGAAAUGAUAGCUCAAUAAUGAUUUCAUAGCUAUCGAAACAACAAAACAGUCAGAGAUCUCUCGUAUUCU
rnacentral:lncRNA from 1 species